GCCUCAGUGGUAUAGUGGUAGCACUCGCCUUCGGUAUUGGUGGAACGCAGGUUCAACCCCUUUCUGAGGUC